rnacentral:lncRNA from 1 species
ACAAAUAUUAUUUCAUUUGAUCACAGAACAACCUUGCAAAGUAGGUAGUAUUAUCAACCCCAUUUGACAGAUGAGGAAACUGGGGCAAAGAGAGAUGAAGGGAUUGGCCCAGGCUCACACAACUAGUAAGUGCUUAUGACUAGAUUUGAACUCAGGUCUUCCUGACUCUGGGUUUGAUGCUCUAUCUCCUAGAAGAGUGGAAGUACCCAAGUUACAAAUCAAUUUUUAUAAAAUAACCCAUUGGCAAUCAGAAGGCAGCUUGACAUCAUUUUUCUUUUCUUUUAUGCAGAAUUUUCAAACAAAUUGACUCUAAAGGCUUAAAGAGUUAAAGAAGACUUAAAAAAAAAAAACAACCAACCAUGCAAACCAGUGACCAUGUUUCCUGGAUCUAUUUCAGAACACUGAAGAUGCUUUCCAAGCACUUCAUCACUCUCUGAUUGAACCCACCAACAUUUCUACUGGAAGAGGAGGAGACUGUGAACUUCAGAUAGUCUGGAUGAACCAAAUACCCAACUCCGAUGCCGUCUGGCACCACUGGUGCAAAAGCAAUGUUGGAUACCAAGGGGCUGCUCAGUGUGUGGUGUAAGAGGACAUUUUCAUUGAGAUAAUCAUAAGCAAGGUCCUGAAAAAAGUCUGGAAUCACAGGAUUCUCCUUGCUGCCCCC